CCCCUCUGAGGACCACUCCUGGAGAGUUUCCAGUACUCUACCAGUCUUGGCUAUGGAAGGGAGAGUCAAGCAGAGGGACACCCAUUCCAUUCCUAGCUUGGGCAAUGGUUAGUGAGGGAAAGGCAAACUGCUACAAGU